GUCCAUACCAGCAACACACCAUCCGAUUGUCCGCGUGAACCAAUUAAGCAGACAUCCGGCUCAAUUCGAACAUCCACACUCUUCAGAUUCGGAACCCGGAGCCUCAGCAGGAACCGGUCAUUCCGGAGAGUUGAACAGAGCUCCUCGAUCCACAGACUUGUCGCAGAGCAGCGGCUAACUUAGCCCAAAAGCCACGCAUUUUCGGAUGCAACUGAUCGUUGACACAACUCGGAUCGGAAUACGAAACUUCUGGGAAGAAGUAACUCAACACAGCCGAGCAUAAAGGG